rnacentral:tRNA from 1 species
GAGGGUAUCGCUCAGUGGUAGAGUAUGUGUUUAGUACGCACAAGAUCCUGAGUUCAGUCCUCAGUACCUCG